rnacentral:rRNA from 1 species
UAUGGGAGGCAGCAGUGGGGAAUAUUGCACAAUGGGCGCAAGCCUGAUGCAGCCAUGCCGCGUGUAUGAAGAAGGCCUUCGGGUUGUAAAGUACUUUCAGUCGUGAGGAAGGUGUUAAGGUUAAUAACCUUAGCAAUUGACGUUAGCGACAGAAGAAGCACCGGCUAACUCCGUGCCAGCAGCCGCGGUAAUACGGAGGGUGCGAGCGUUAAUCGGAAUUACUGGGCGUAAAGGGCACGCAGGCGGUUAAUUAAGUUGGAUGUGAAAUCCCCGGGCUUAACCUGGGAAUGGCAUUCAAGACUGGUUAGCUAGAGUCUUGUAGAGGGGGUAGAAUUCCAUGUGUAGCGGUGAAAUGCGUAGAGAUGUGGAGGAAUACCGGUGGCGAAGGCGGCCCCUGGACAAAGACUGACGCUCAUGUGCGAAAGCGUGGGGAGCAAACAGGGAUUAGAUACC